rnacentral:rRNA from 1 species
GAUGAACGCUGGCGGCGUGCCUAAUACAUGCCAGUCGAGCGAACAGACGAGGAGCUUGCUCCUCUGACGUUAGCGGCGGACGGGUGAGUAACACGUGGAUAACCUACCUAUAAGACUGGGAUAACUUCGGGAAACCGGAGCUAAUACCGGAUAAUAUAUUGAACCGCAUGGUUCAAUAGUGAAAGACGGUUUUGCUGUCACUUAUAGAUGGAUCCGCGCCGCAUUAGCUAGUUGGUAAGGUAACGGCUUACCAAGGCGACGAUGCGUAGCCGACCUGAGAGGGUGAUCGGCCACACUGGAACUGAGACACGGUCCAGACUCCUACGGGAGGCAGCAGUAGGGAAUCUUCCGCAAUGGGCGAAAGCCUGACGGAGCAACGCCGCGCGAGUGAUGAAGGUCUUCGGAUCGUAAAACUCUGUUAUUAGGGAAGAACAAAUGUGUAAGUAACUAUGCACGUCUUGACGGUAUCUAAUCAGAAAGCCACGGCUAACUACGUG